UAAAGAAAGAGAGAGAGAAAGAGAGAGAGAGGGCGAGAGAAAGAGAGAGAGAGAGAAAUUAAUUGCUGAUAUAAUGCAUUAAAUAGAGCUUUUAGUAGAGAAAAUAUAUAAAUUACCUUGAAGGUAAUUUAUAUAUUUUCUUUCUCUCCCUCCCUCUUUCUCUCUUUCUCCCUCUCUCUCUCUCUCUUUAUAUAC